rnacentral:lncRNA from 1 species
GGCAGGAUCUGAAGGCCCAGCAGCUACUGAGUAGGCUGCAGAAUGCGAGUCGUGAAGGGUGCUGUGAAGUCCUGAGAAACCUGGUCCCGCUGGCCUCAGACAUGACCUUUGCCCAGGAGGUCAUCAGUCGUGAUGGGCUUCAGAAAUUAAGCACCAUCAUUGAAAAUGGGGAUGAGUGAGCACUGGGCCCAGGUGGACUGGGGGACAUGGUAGGGCUUGGAAAUCUUGCUCUGAUCCUCUUCAUCCCCAGAUGUUCUCUGUAGCCUAGGGGAGAUGCUGGCCCUUGGGCUAAGGGCUUUCCUGGAGCUCAUGGAACACGGAGUAGUGUCUUGGGAGACACUCAGCAUUUCCUUUGUCAGGAAGGUGGUAUCUUAUGUGAACAUGAACUUGAUGGAUGCCUCUGUGCAGCCCCU